rnacentral:rRNA from 1 species
UACGGAGGGUGCGAGCGUUAAUCGGAAUUACUGGGCGUAAAGGGCGCGUAGGCGGUGAAGUAAGUCGGGUGUGAAAGCCCUGGGCUCAACCUGGGAACUGCCUCCGAUACUGCUUCGCUAGAGUAUGGUAGAGGGAAGCGGAAUUCCGGGUGUAGCGGUGAAAUGCGUAGAUAUCCGGAGGAACACCAGUGGCGAAGGCGGCUUCCUGGACCAAUACUGACGCUGAGGCGCGAAAGCGUGGGGAUCAAACAGG